UUAACAUUGCAAAAGCAGCGGGAAAUGAAAGGAGGGGCCUUUAAUCCUAGUUGCAAAUUCAAACCGGGACAAUAGGGUGCUUUUGAAUCUCCCACGCAAAAAGUACCCUUUAGUCCUGAUUGGAAAUUACAACCGGGACUAGGGGGCUUUAGUCCCGCAUUGAAUUUGCAACCGGGACUAAAGGCCCUUUAGUCCCAGUUGCAAAGUCAACCCGAGACUAGGGCGGCUUAAAACACCCUUACCCAAUUUGCCAUCAAUCC
rnacentral:lncRNA from 1 species